AUUAUUCACACUCAUGCAAAUUAAAGUAGGUGCACAACAUCAAAGACAAGAGUAGUGUAACACACAUACAAAUUAUUUAGGUGCAUGCUGAGUACGUAUUAAUUAAAGGAUAGAUUGAUCAGCACACAACAAAUACUAUAUGUUAUGACAAGAGAAUUCAUUAGAAGAAAUGAUGCUUCUUCUUUCCCUCAGCUUCCUCCUCUUCUUCUUUUGCUUCUUUCUUCUGAUGAUGUUCAUGGAAUGCAAAUCCACCAGCACCAACUGCAGCUACUGCGGCUAUCUCUUCCUCUAUCUUGUGCUUGUGUGCAUGCUCUGGAUCUUUCUCUGCCUUGUGCUUCUCAUGCAAAGCAAAGGCACCAGCAGCAACAGCUCCAAGUCCCCCAAGUUCUUCAAGAUGCUUGUGAUGUUUCUUCUCUUCCUUGUAAUCCUCAGAAGUUUUGGUUCCACUAUCAUCAUUCUCUUCAUAAUUAGUAGUAGUCUCAGAUGAGUAGGCACCAACUCCUCCACCAUAGCCACCUUCCUCAUUACCAUAACUUGUUUUCUCACCAUAUUUGUUGUCAUCUCCUCCACCAUAACUAGCUUUCUCUCCAUAACUAGUUUUCUCACCAUACUUGUUUUCAUCUCCCCCACCAUAACUUGUUUUCUCACCAUAUUUGUUGUCAUCUCCUCCACCAUAACUAGCUUUCUCUCCAUAACUAGUUUUCUCACCAUACUUGUUUUCAUCUCCCCC
rnacentral:misc_RNA from 1 species